UUGUGUCCGAAGGGAAAUAAAAAGUAACCCAAUCGAACGGUCGUCGCGUCGUGUAAAUAUCGUGUGGUUUUCUCUCUCUCUCUUUCUCUCAUGCAUACUCUGGAAAAAGGCGUCCGACGUGUUCGCUGACAAAGGGACGAUCCAUUUAAAAGCCAAACGCAUGUAUACCGUGGGGACACGCAACGGAAUAAUGAAUAUUUUUCAAAAUUAACAGGGGUAUUAUGUGUUGUAUCAAUUGGGUUGCAAGCAACUGACCUGGCCACGACGACA